UUGGGUUGCAUAGCUGGGCAACAAGGGCUUCCAAGGUCCCAUGAAAUUUUGGCAUAUCAACUUAUCACUAAGAGAGAGAAGGGGCAGUCGGAUAGCAAUCUUCUUCAUGCUAUCUACCUCUGAGCUAUUCUUUUUGCUUAGUGCAGCAACAAGUCUCUUGAUUAGCUGGGCUACCAUCCAAUGCAGCCUUUAUUCGCCUCAUGAUGCCUUCAUGAUCCAUGCAAUCACCCAGGAGAAAUAGGCUACAACAACCUUCCAAUUCCCUCCUACCCCACU
rnacentral:lncRNA from 1 species